UCGAAACCUGCCCAGCAGAGCGACCCGUGAACACGUUUAACAUCAUGGGUGUUGGGGUGUUUCUAGGUGCCUUGUGCGCUUGCUCACCCCUAACCCAAGCCGAGGGGCAGUCACUUGUGGGCUGCUCCCUUAGCCCAACAACGAAACCCGGCGUGUAAUGCGUCAAGGAAUACAAACAUUAUGUGUGUGCUCUCCUUCAGCCUGGUUAGCCGUGCGUAGGAGUGGUGCCAUGUCUUAACAAUA
rnacentral:rRNA from 1 species